AGCAAUUCUGUCCAGCCCAAGAGUCUGGGACAUGCCAGAACAUUUUCUUCUUUAUAGUCUGUGGGAGGCACUGACAAGAACAGUUGAUACAGAUUGCAAGCACAGCGACAUAGUAGUGUCGUAAUGCAUCAUCACAUGCUAUCUUUGGUAUAUUCUAGAAUUUUAUCACGAGGCAUUGAUCCCACACCUGAGAAGCUGGAAACAACCCAGAUGUCCCAAGACAGAAGAAUGGAUACAGAAAUGUGGUUCAUCUACAUAAUGGAGUACUACUCAGCUAUUAAGAAUGAGGACAUCCUAAGUUUUGCAUGCAAGUGGG
ensembl:lncRNA